UACGUAGGGACCAAGCGUUGUUCGGAUUUACUGGGCGUAAAGGGCGCGUAGGCGGCGUGACAAGUCACUUGUGAAAUCUCUGAGCUUAACUCAGAACGGCCAAGUGAUACUGCAGUGCUAGAGUGCAGAAGGGGCAAUCGGAAUUCUUGGUGUAGCGGUGAAAUGCGUAGAUAUCAAGAGGAACACCUGAGGUGAAGACGGGUUGCUAGGCUGACACUGACGCUGAGGCGCGAAAGCCAGGGGAGCAAACGGG
rnacentral:rRNA from 1 species